rnacentral:rRNA from 1 species
GAUGAACGCUGGCGGCGUGCCUAAUACAUGCAAGUCGAGCGAACGGACGAGAAGCUUGCUUCUCUGAUGUUAGCGGCGGACGGGUGAGUAACACGUGGAUAACCUACCUAUAAGACUGGGAUAACUUCGGGAAACCGGAGCUAAUACCGGAUAAUAUUUUGAACCGCAUGGUUCAAAAGUGAAAGACGGUCUUGCUGUCACUUAUAGAUGGAUCCGCGCUGCAUUAGCUAGUUGGUAAGGUAACGGCUUACCAAGGCAACGAUGCAUAGCCGACCUGAGAGGGGGAUCGGCCACACUGGAACUGAGACACGGUCCAGACUCCUACGGGAGGCAGCAGUAGGGAAUCUUCCGCAAUGGGCGAAAGCCUGACGGAGCAACGCCGCGUGAGUGAUGAAGGUCUUCGGAUCGUAAAACUCUGUUAUUAGGGAAGAACAUAUGUGUAAGGAACUGUGCACAUCUUGACGGUACCUAAUCAGAAAGCCACGGCUAACUACGUG